UGUCUCAACCUCUGAGUAUUGCCUGUUCU
rnacentral:piRNA from 1 species